UACAGAGGUGGCAAGCGUUGUUCGGAUUUAUUGGGCGUAAAGGGCUCGUAGGCGGUUCGAAAAGUCAGAUGUGAAAUCCCACAGCUUAACUGUGGAACUGCAUCUGAAACUCUCGAACUAGAGUGUGAGAGGGGUAAAGGGAAUUCCCGGUGUAAGGGUGAAAUCUGCAGAGAUCGGGAAGAACAUCAGUCGCGUAGGCGCUUUACUGGAUCACUACUGACGCUGAGGGGCGAAAGCUAGGGGAGCAAACGGG
rnacentral:rRNA from 1 species